rnacentral:rRNA from 1 species
AGAGUUUGAUCAUGGCUCAGGAUUAACGCUAGCGGCAGGCCUAAUACAUGCAAGUCGAACGGUAACAGGUCCAGCAAUGGAUGCUGGCGACUGGCGAACGGGUGCGUAACGCGUAUGCAACUUACCCUCAACUGGAGAAUAGCCCAGAGAAAUUUGGAUUAAUACUCCAUAGUAUUACGAAGAGGCAUCUCUUUAGGUUUAAAGCUCCGGCGGUUAAGGAUGAGCAUGCGGGACAUUAGUUUGUUGGAGAGGUAAUGGCUCACCAAGACUACGAUGUCUAGGGGAUCUGAGAGGAUUGUCCCCCACACUGGUACUGAGACACGGACCAGACUCCUACGGGAGGCAGCAGUAAGGAAUAUUGGUCAAUGGAGGAAACUCUGAACCAGCCAUGCCGCGUGCAGGAUGACAGCCCUAUGGGUCGUAAACUGCUUUUGUACAGGAAUAAACCCCCGGUUUCGGUUCGGGGCUGACGGUAUCGUAAGAAUAAGGACCGGCUAACUCCGUGCCAGCAGCCGCGGUAAUACGGAGGGUGCAAGCGUUAUCCGGAUUUAUUGGGUUUAAAGGGUGCGCAGGCGGAAUAUUAAGUCAGUGGUGAAAUCCUACAGCUCAACUGUAGAACUGCCAUUGAUACUGAUAUUCUUGAGUAUAGUUGUAGUGGGCGGAAUAUGUCAUGUAGCGGUGAAAUGCUUAGAUAUGACAUAGAACACCGAUCGCGAAGGCAGCUCACUAAACUAUAACUGACGCUCAGGCACGAAAGCGUGGGGAGCAAACAGGAUUAGAUACCCUGGUAGUCCACGCCGUAAACGAUGAUAACUCGAUGUUGGCAAUACACCGUCAGCGUCCAAGCGAAAGCGUUAAGUUAUCCACCUGGGGAGUACGAUCGCAAGGUUGAAACUCAAAGGAAUUGACGGGGGCCCGCACAAGCGGAGGAGCAUGUGGUUUAAUUCGAUGAUACGCGAGGAACCUUACCUGGGCUCAAACGUAGAGUGACCGACUGUGAAAGCAGUCUUCCCUUCGGGGCAGUCUACGAGGUGCUGCAUGGUUGUCGUCAGCUCGUGCCGUGAGGUGUCGGGUUAAGUCCCAUAACGAGCGCAACCCCUAUCUUUAGUUGCCAUCAGGUCAUGCUGGGGACUCUAGAGAAACUGCCCGCGCAAGCGGUGAGGAAGGUGGGGAUGACGUCAAGUCAGCACGGCCCUUACGUCCAGGGCUACACACGUGCUACAAUGGCAGGUACAAUGGGCAGCAACAUGGUGACAUGAAGCUAAUCUCCAAAGCCUGUCUCAGUUCGGAUUGAAGUCUGCAACUCGACUUCAUGAAGCUGGAAUCGCUAGUAAUCGCAUAUCAGCAAUGAUGCGGUGAAUACGUUCCCGGGCCUUGUACACACCGCCCGUCAAACAAUGGAAGCCGGGGGUACCUGAAGUCCGUCACCGAAAGGAGCGGCCUAGGGUAAAACCGAUAACUAGGGCUAAGUCGUAACAAGGUAACC